GAUGAACGCUAGCGGCAGGCCUAACACAUGCAAGUCGAGGGAGAGGUUACCUUCGGGUAACCAAAACCGGCGCACGGGUGCGUAACGCGUAUACAAUCUGCCUUUCACAUAGGGAUAGCCCGAAGAAAUUUGGAUUAAUACCUAAUGGUAUAUAAAAGCGGCAUCGUUUUUAUAUUAAAGCUACGGUAGUGAAAGAUGAGUAUGCGUUCUAUUAGCUAGUUGGAGAGGUAACGGCUCCCCAAGGCGACGAUAGAUAGGGGUUCUGAGAGGGAUGUCCCCCACACUGGUACUGAGAUACGGACCAGACUCCUACGGGAGGCAGCAGUGAGGAAUAUUGGACAAUGGUCGGAAGACUGAUCCAGCCAUGCCGCGUGCAGGAUGAAGGUCCUAUGGAUGGUAAACUGCCUUUGUAAGGGAAGAAUAAGAGCUACGGGUAGUUUGAUGACGGUACCUUACGAAUAAGCAUCGGCUAACUCCGUG
rnacentral:rRNA from 1 species